GUGCCGCCGCGGUAAUACGGAGGGUGCAAGCGUUGUCCGGAAUCACUGGGUGUAAAGGGUGUGCAGGCGGGGCAACAAGUCGGAGGUGAAAGCCCAUGGCUCAACCAUGGAAGUGCCUUCGAAACUGUUGCUCUUGAGUCCCGGAGAGGUUGUCGGAAUUCGUGGUGUAGCGGUGAAAUGCGUAGAUAUCACGAGGAACACCAGAGGCGAAAGCGGGCAACUGGACGGGUACUGACGCUCAGGCACGAAAGCGUGGGGAGCAAACAGGAUUAGAUACCCCUGUAGUCC
rnacentral:rRNA from 1 species